rnacentral:rRNA from 1 species
AACGAACGCUGGCGGCAUGCCUAACACAUGCAAGUCGAACGAUACCUUCGGGUCUAGUGGCGCACGGGUGCGUAACGCGUGGGAACCUGCCCUUAGGUUCGGAAUAACUCCCCGAAAGGGGUGCUAAUACCGGAUAAUUUCUUCGGACCAAAGAUUUAUCGCCUUUGGAUGGGCCCGCGUUUGAUUAGCUAGUUGGUAGGGUAAAAGCCUACCAAGGCGACGAUCCAUAGCUGGUCUGAGAGGAUGAUCAGCCACACUGGGACUGAGACACGGCCCAGACUCGUACGGGAGGCAGCAGUGGGGAAUAUUGGACGAUGGGCGAAAGCCUGAUACAGCAAUGCCGGGUGAGUGAUGAAGGCCUUAGGGUUGUAAAGCUCUUUUACCCGGGAUGAUAAUGACAGUACCGGGAGAAUAAGCGCCGGCUAACUCCGUG